ACGGGUGAGUAAUGUCUGGGAAACUGCCUGAUGGAGGGGGAUAACUACUGGAAACGGUAGCUAAUACCGCAUAACGUCGCAAGACCAAAGAGGGGGACCUUCGGGCCUCUUGCCAUCAGAUGUGCCCAGAUGGGAUUAGCUAGUAGGUGGGGUAAUGGCUCACCUAGGCGACGAUCCCUAGCUGGUCUGAGAGGAUGACCAGCCACACUGGAACUGAGACACGGUCCAGACUCCUACGGGAGGCAGCAGUGGGGAAUAUUGCACAAUGGGCGCAAGCCUGAUGCAGCCAUGCCGCGUGUGUGAAGAAGGCCUUCGGGUUGUAAAGCACUUUCAGCGAGGAGGAAGGUGGUGAGCUUAAUACGUUCAUCAAUUGACGUUACUCGCAGAAGAAGCACCGGCUAACUCCGUGCCAGCAGCCGCGGUAAUACGGAGGGUGCAAGCGUUAAUCGGAAUUACUGGGCGUAAAGCGCACGCAGGCGGUUUGUUAAGUCAGAUGUGAAAUCCCCGGGCUCAACCUGGGAACUGCAUUUGAAACUGGCAAGCUAGAGUCUCGUAGAGGGGGGUAGAAUUCCAGGUGUA
rnacentral:rRNA from 1 species